UACGUAGGUGGCAAGCGUUGUCCGGAUUUAUUGGGUUUAAAGGGUCCGUAGGCGGAUCUGUAAGUCAGUGGUGAAAUCUCACAGCUUAACUGUGAAACUGCCGUUGAUACUGCAGGUCUUGAGUGUUAUUGAAGUAGCUGGAAUAAGUAGUGUAGCGGUGAAAUGCAUAGAUAUUACUUAGAACACCAAUUGCGAAGGCAGGUUACUAAGCAACAACUGACGCUGAUGGACGAAAGCGUGGGGAGCGAACAGG
rnacentral:rRNA from 1 species